rnacentral:misc_RNA from 1 species
GUGUGAGUCGCCGCGCGAGUGAAGGAGGAUAAGAUGUCUCACAGGAAGUUUGAGCACCCUAGACAUGGGUCCCUUGGGUUCCUUCCAAGGAAACGAGCUUCUCGUCACAGGGGAAAAGUGAAGGCUUUCCCCAAGGAUGACCCUACCAAGCCAUGCAAGCUUACUGCCUUUUUGGGUUAUAAGGCUGGCAUGACACACAUUGUUAGGGAGGUCGAGAAACCUGGGUCAAAGCUUCACAAGAAGGAGACCUGCGAGGCUGUUACCAUAGUUGAGACACCUCCAAUGGUCAUUGUUGGAGUUGUGGGUUAUGUGAAGACACCACGUGGUCUUCGCACUCUGAACACUGUCUGGGCUCAGCAUCUUAGUGAGGAGGUGAGAAGGAGAUUCUAUAAGAACUGGUGCAAGUCCAAGAAGAAGGCUUUCACAAAGUACUCUAAACAGUACGAGACUGACGAUGGGAAGAAAAGUAUCCAAGCCCAGCUUGAGAAGAUAAAGAAAUAUGCACAUGUUGUUCGUGUUUUGGCCCACACUCAGAU